GACGAACGCUGGCGGCGUGCUUAACACAUGCAAGUCGAACGCUGAAGCUCAGCUUUUGUUGGGUGGAUGAGUGGCGAACGGGUGAGUAACACGUGAGUAACCUGCCUCCUUCUUUGGGAUAACGCCCGGAAACGGGUGCUAAUACUGGAUAUUCUCUGGUCUUCGCGUGGGGGCUGGUGGACAGGGGUUUUCUGGUGGGGGAUGGGCUCGCGGCCUAUCGGCGUGUUGGGGGGGUGAUGGCCUACCCAGGCUUUGACGGGUAGCCGGGCUGAGAGGGUGACCGGGAACAUUGGGACGGAGAUGCGGCCCAGAGUCGGACGGGGGGGAGAAGUGGGGAAUAUUGCAGAAAGGGCGAAAGCCUGAUGCAGCGACGCCGAGGGAGGGAUGGAGGCUGUCGGGUUGUGAAGCUGUUUCGCAAAUGGUCCGGCCGCAACAAUGGUUGUGGUGAGGGUAGUGGGUAAAGAAGCGCCGGCUAACUACGUG
rnacentral:rRNA from 1 species